rnacentral:miRNA from 1 species
UGUGUGUAUGCGUGUGCACGCGGAUGUGUAUAUAUAUAUAUAUAUAUAUAUAUACACACACACACACAUAUACACACACACACAUACACACAC